ACCUGGGUGGCUCUGUCGGUUGGGCAUCUGACUUCAGCUCAGGUCAUGAUCUCACAGGUCGUGGGUUCGAGACCCAUGUCAGGCU
rnacentral:tRNA from 1 species